rnacentral:rRNA from 1 species
UACGGAGGGUGCAAGCGUUAUCCGGAUUCACUGGUUUAAAGGGUGCGUAGGUGGGCAGGUAAGUCAGUGGUGAAAUCUCUGGGCUUAACCCAGAAACUGCCGUUGAUACUAUCUGUCUUGAAUGUAGUGGAGGUGAGCGGAAUAUGUCAUGUAGCGGUGAAAUGCUUAGAUAUGACAUAGAACACCCAUUGCGAAGGCAGCUCGCUACACUAUUAUUGACACUGAGGCACGAAAGCGUGGGGAUCAACAGG